rnacentral:lncRNA from 1 species
AAUUUGAAAUAUUUUCUCUCUUAAUCUAGCAAGUUCAAUUGCUAUGAAUUUAGAGUUUAAAUUUGAAAGGGUUUUAGGGGGUCAUUUAAUUACAGCUAUAUUCACCCCCUCUAUAGACUUAGUUGAUCCCACAUAUUGAAUAUGAAAUACUAAAAUAAUGAAUAAGAGUUUAAUUUAUCAAUAUACAUAUUCCGAGCAUUGAUAUUGUGGGGGUGAGGAACCCGAAUGGUGUUGUUAAGGGGAAGAUAUGCUCUUUUGACAAAAAGUGGAUUGACAUGUUAGAGUCUAAACAGUUAUAUUACAUAAGUCUUUUAAUACUUACAUUGCACUACAUUGGUAUAGACAAUUUGAUUAACGGUUUUAUUUUUUUCAAAUUUUCAAAAAGCAUUAUGAACCUGACAAAAGAUAACUCACUGGAAACCUUCUGCUGAACAAGAAUUAUCUAAGAAGUUGGGUAAUAAAACGAGCACUCUCUAAACUGAGACCAAAGAAAUGUUGAAAGCAAAAGUCCCUAAAGUCAUUCUACAAGACAACAUUUCGUUAAUAAGAAAACUAGUUUCAAAUAUAAGAUCGCUGUGAGACACUCUGAAGAAGAAGAAAAGAGUAGUAGGUGAAACAACAUAAUAUUAUAAGAUCGCUGUGAGCCAUCCCUAGAGCGCCACCACGCUAACGCCAUGACUGUUGGACCCUCUCAUCGGCCACCUUGGGCCACCAUGGAUGAAGCCACUGCGCCAUCCAUCUGGCCUCAUUACUUUCUUCAAGGCAUCUCAAGAAUCAUGGUCGAAAACGCAACCUAUGCAGAGAACGAAACCUCCGUCCCCAACUCCAGUGGAGAGCCGCCGUCCGUCGUAGCCUCGUAGGUACUAAAAAUUAGCGCGCUUAGG